UAGUGAGUUUGAUCCUGGCUCAGAACGAACGCUGGCGGCAGGCUUAACACAUGCAAGUCGAGCGAGAUCUUCGGGUCUAGCGGCGGACGGGUGAGUAACGCGUGGGAACGUGCCCUUUGCUACGGAAUAGUCCUGGGAAACUGGGGUAAUACCGUAUACGCCCUUUUGGGGAAAGAUUUAUCGCCGAGGGAUCGGCCCGCGUCUGAUUAGCUAGUUGGUGAGGUAAAGGCUCACCAAGGCCACGAUCAGUAGCUGGUCUGAGAGGACGACCAGCCACACUGGAACUGAGACACGGUCCAGACUCCUACGGGA
rnacentral:rRNA from 1 species